rnacentral:tRNA from 1 species
GGACAUAUGGCCGAGAGGUUAAGGUGACUGACUCGGGAUCGUAAGGCUUGGGUUCGAGACCUACUAUCUGCG